AACGAACGCUGGCGGCAUGCCUAACACAUGCAAGUCGAACGAGACCUUCGGGUCUAGUGGCGCACGGGUGCGUAACGCGUGGGAACCUGCCCUUAGGUUCGGAAUAACUCCCCGAAAGGGGUGCUAAUACCGGAUAAUGUCUUCGGACCAAAGAUUUAUGGCCUUUGGAUGGGCCCGCGUUGGAUUAGCUAGUUGGUAGGGUAAAAGCCUACCAAGGCGACGAUCCAUAGCUGGUCUGAGAGGAUGAUCAGCCACACUGGGACUGAGACACGGCCCAGACUCCUACGGGAAGCAGCAGUGGGGAAUAGUGGACCAUGGGCGAAAGCCUGAUCCAGCACUGCCGCGUGAGUGAUGAAGGCCUUAGGGUUGUAAAGCUCUUUUACCCGGGAUGAUAAUGACAGUACCGGGAGAAUAAGCUCCGGCUAACUCCGUG
rnacentral:rRNA from 1 species